UGGCAGGGGGGGUCCCUUACGGGGGGGGGACAGUAGGGAAUCUUCCACAAUGGACGCAAGUCUGAUGGAGCAACGCCGCGUGAGUGAAGAAGGUUUUCGGAUCGUAAAGCUCUGUUGUUGGUGAAGAACGACAUGGGUAGUAACUGAUAUCUGUUUGACGGUAAUCAACCAGAAAGUCACGGCUAACUACGUGCCAGCAGCCGCGUAAUACGUAGGUGGCAAGCGUUGUCCGGAUUUAUUGGGCGUAAAGCGAACGCAGGCGGGAGAACAAGUCAGCUGUGAAAGCCCUCGGCUUAACCGAGGAACGGCAACUGAAACUGCUUUUCUUGAGUGCAGAAGAGGAGAGUGGAACUCCAUGUGUAGCGGUGAAAUGCGUAGAUAUUGGAAGAACACCAGUGGCAAGGCGGCUCUCUGGUCUGUAACUGACGCUGAGGUUCGAAAGCAUGGGUAGCGAACAGGAUUAGAUACCCUGGUAGUCCAUGCCGUAAACGAUGAGUACUAAGUGUUGGGAGGUUUCCGCCUCUCAGUGCUGCAGCUAACGCAUUACAAAUCGCCGGGGGCCCCCCCCCCCUCCGGCCAUACGUCAAC
rnacentral:rRNA from 1 species